CUACGUGCCAGCAGCCGCGGUAAUACGGAAGGUCCAGGCGUUAUCCGGAUUUAUUGGGUUUAAAGGGAGCGUAGGCUGGAUAUUAAGUGUGUUGUGAAAUGUAGACGCUCAACGUCUGACUUGCAGCGCAUACUGGUUUCCUUGAGUACGCACAACGUUGGCGGAAUUCGUCGUGUAGCGGUGAAAUGCUUAGAUAUGACGAAGAACUCCGAUUGCGAAGGCAGCUGACGGGAGCGCAACUGACGCUUAAGCUCGAAGGUGCGGGUAUCAAACAGGAUUAGAUACCCUGGUAGUCCGCACAGUAAACGAUGAAUACUCGCAGUAUGCGAUAUAAUGUAUGCUGCCAAGUGAAAACGUUAAGUAUUCCACCUGGGGAGUACGCCGGCAACGGUGAAACUCAAAGGAAUUGACGGGGGCCCGCACAAGCGGAGGAACAUGUGGUUUAAUUCGAUGAUACGCGAGGAACCUUACCCGGGCUUGAAC
rnacentral:rRNA from 1 species